rnacentral:miRNA from 1 species
ACGUAUUCGGCUCUCAGU